UGUGUAUGUACUAUACUCAAACAAAAAGAAAAAAAGAUCAUCUUCUUUACUUCACUUUAAAAAAAAACAACAACAAAGAAACCAGAGUUCAAAAGGAACUCGAGCCAGGGACAUUAGAUAUAUCCAUCAGUCCCCAGGAAAAUAUGCCCCUUUUAAAGGUCUGCAAGCCUUAGGUAAAAUACAAAAGGAAAUUUUAAAAAGAUGGACAACUUUGUUAAUCGUGGAAAGGGAAAUUGCCUGCACUUGUGGUAACCUGUGAAAGUAGCAAAGUUCAGAGACUAUUCACAUCACUCUUCAGCCAGUGCCCCUGGGUAGAUGGGUGAAGCUUUGCCUCCCAGUGCAGAGUGAGGCCCGAUUUGGAGCAAGUUCUUCCUUGAUGAACACGAGGAAGAUCUUGCUGGCUUAUCAUGAAUUCAUCCAGAAAGGGAGAUUCCUGCCCCCAGCAAACCAAAGUCCACAACGUAUAAGCGAUGAGUGCUAGAUUCACAUCUUCAGAGCUUUGAAAAUCCAGAAGGGGGCCAGUAAUUCUCCUGGAAGGGUUAGCCCUCCUCACCCCACCUCCAAUGCUCACCACGGUUCCUGGCACACAGCAAGCGUGCCAUUCAUGUUUGUUGAAUGGAUGGAUGGAAGAAUAAAGCAGAGUUCCUUACUGGUAAAAAUGCAGAUUGCCUAAAGGUCACCAGGUGCAGAAUUCCUUGGGAUAUGAACAAAACCAGCCCUUCUAAAAUGAAGUCAAACCUGCAGUCAGUCACAGAUUUUGGCAGCCCCAAUUUCCUCCUUCUUUUCUACUGUUUUGUGCUGAUAAUGUAUCAACAUUCCUUAAUCCCAUCCAAGUUGAAAUGUGCUUUGCCCUCAUUGAGCUUAAGCUAUAAUCUCCAAAUGUACUACCA
rnacentral:lncRNA from 1 species